ACCCAUGUUAGUCUAAAACCUAGGGAAAACGUUUUUAUCACUAUAAUUUACUUUAAUAAACAGGUUCUCUGUGUUUUUAAACCUGGAAUGUUUCUGCAUGCUCACUUUUUAUUGAAACAUAUGCAAAAGUGCUAAAUGAAGAGAUGUGUCUUCAUAAAGGCUUGUCUUUUCAAGUGUUUAUUCCUAUACAAGAUUUAAUAUAACUUUCACCUCUAUU